rnacentral:rRNA from 1 species
AGGGUGCGUAGGCGGGUUAUUAAGUCAGUGGUGAAAGACGGUCGCUCAACGAUUGCAGUGCCAUUGAUACUGGUAGACUUGAGUGGGAUUGAGGUAGCGUGGAAUGGAUAGUGUAGCGGUGAAAUGCAUAGAUAUUAUCCAGAACACCAAUUGCGUAGGCAAGUUACUAAGUCUCAACUGACGCUGAGGCACGAAAGUGUGGGGUAUCAAACAGGAUUAGAUACCCGUGU